rnacentral:snoRNA from 1 species
AAUGAAUGAUGACAAAAUGUUUCGGUCCCAGAUGACAUCGAAUGAUUCUAUUUUCCCCCUUUUCUGACAUU